rnacentral:rRNA from 1 species
ACGAACGCUGGCGGCGUGCUUCACCCAUGCCAGUCGAACGGUAAGGCCCUUUCGGGGGUACACGAGUGGCGAACGGGUGAGUAACACGUGGGUGAUCUGCCCUGCACUUUGGGAUAAGCCUGGGAAACUGGGUCUAAUACCGGAUAGGACUACGCGAUGCAUGUCGUGUGGUGGAAAGCUUUUGCGGUGUGGGAUGGGCCCGCGGCCUAUCAGCUUGUUGGUGGGGUGAUGGCCUACCAAGGCGACGACGGGUAGCCGGCCUGAGAGGGUGUCCGGCCACACUGGGACUGAGAUACGGCCCAGACUCCUACGGGAGGCAGCAGUGGGGAAUAUUGCACAAUGGGCGCAAGCCUGAUGCAGCGACGCCGCGUGGGGGAUGACGGCCUUCGGGUUGUAAACCCCUUUCAGCACAGACGAAGCGUAAGUGACGGUAUGUGCAGAAGAAGCACCGGCCAACUACGUG